GGGGCUAUCGUCUAGCUUGGUCCAGGAUACCAUCUCAACACGCUGGCGGUCGUGGGUUCAAAUCCCACUGGCCCCA
rnacentral:tRNA from 1 species